UAUAAUGGGUCAGCGACUUAUAUUCUGUAGCAAGGUUAACCGUAUAGGGGAGCCGAAGGGAAACCGAGUCUUAACUGGGCGUUAAGUUGCAGGGUAUAGACCCGAAACCCGGUGAUCUAGCCAUGGGCAGGUUGAAGGUUGGGUAACACUAACUGGAGGACCGAACCGACUAAUGUUGAAAAAUUAGCGGAUGACCUGUGGCUGGGGGUGAAAGGCCAAUCAAACCGGGAGAUAGCUGGUUCUCCCCGAAAGCUAUUUAGGUAGCGCCUCGUGAACUCAUCUUCGGGGGUAGAGCACUGUUUCGGCUAGGGGGCCAUCCCGGCUUACCAACCCGAUGCAAACUACGAAUACCGAAGAAUGUUAUCACGGGAGACACACGGCGGGUGCUAACGUCCGUCGUGAAGAGGGAAACAACCCAGACCGCCAGCUAAGGUCCCAAAGUCAUGGUUAAGUGGGAAACGAUGUGGGAAGGCCCAGACAGCCAGGAUGUUGGCUUAGAAGCAGCCAUCAUUUAAAGAAAGCGUAAUAGCUCACUGGUCGAGUCGGCCUGCGCGGAAGAUGUAACGGGGCUAAACCAUGCACCGAAGCUGCGGCAGCGACGCUUAUGCGUUGUUGGGUAGGGGAGCGUUCUGUAAGCCGUUGAAGGUGGUCUGUGAGGGCUGCUGGAGGUAUCAGAAGUGCGAAUGCUGACAUAAGUAACGAUAAAGCGGGUGAAAAGCCCGCUCGCCGGAAGACCAAGGGUUCCUGUCCAACGUUAAUCGGGGCAGGGUGAGUCGACCCCUAAGGCGAGGCCGAAAGGCGUAGUCGAUGGGAAACAGGUUAAUAUUCCUGUACUUGGUGUU
rnacentral:rRNA from 1 species